AACGAUGUAAUUGCUAGCGCCCCGCCGCCGGUUACGUCGGCGUUGAUGUAACAGCGCGUGCAACGCGCCUACCAAACGUCACGGACCAUAACGAGCGAUGACGACCGGCGGGAUCGCGGAGAAAUUGCGAGCGACGAUGGAGCGCGUGGACGAUGACGAUAAGUCGUGACGUGCACGGGAGAGGAGGGCUUCAUUCAUGUUACAGCUUACGGCCACGAUGGAUUUAAAUUCGCAACUGGAGCAGCAAGUUUCUGAUCUAGAGAUAAAGCGCGUAAAUUACGAAAGAGAGCGCCAACCUUCGCGGCAUCUCUUUGAUGCGUAAGUGAUCCGUAAUGUGUAUCAGUAUGCAAGGAGGAUGAGCAAUUUAUUUGGGCGAUAGUAAAGAUGCAGUCGCGCAGCCGCUCGAGAGAGUUAAAUGACGGGGCAGGCAUGCGCAACGAAAAAUAACGGAAGGGCAAUUUCUUCGUUCCCGAGGAGCGUGCAAUGCUACUAUUACUACUGCUACGUGCGUUUCGAGACCGCGUGACACUGGCAUCGAGCUCUAUCAGUCACUCAGUCAAUGACAAGUACAGUAAAGUCCGUGCGAAUGUUCGACGUGCGCGUCAUUCUCACUUUUUACGGAAGCACAUGACGCCGAUAAGCACUUAAUCCACUAUUCCGCGCAACGUAUAUCACAACUCGACAAGAAAAAUAUCACAGCCGCGCCGAAAAGCCAGUUUUUGCAAAACGGUAAAACUGCACAGUUAGAUUAGGUCACUAAAGUAGACAUCGCAGUUAAUGAACGAAAGUUCAUCCGUGGUGCAAAUUUUAUUCGCGAGUUUUAUUAAAAUUAUUAAACAGGGAAUAUAAAAACAAAUCGAAAUCUGCGAGACUAAUUUGAAAAAUGUCUUCAUUGCAAUACUCUUGGCGAACUUUUGGGUUCGCGAUUCUUCCUCCUAAAGCGCAAUAUAUCCGCAGUCAUUGAUUUGGAAAUUUAUUCGAAGGCGGAGGAAGCCAAUAACCGGUUAAGCAAUUUGCCUAUUAUGCGUGUCAGAAUCGUGUAAUAUUUCGCGACUCGCUGACUUCACCGGACUUCCCGGAUCGAAAUGCAUCCGUAAUCAGGAGGAGCGCAAUUGUUCGAAUUCUUCUACAGCUACAAAUCGGUACCGUGGCUCAACAAUCAACUUUAUAGUUCGACGUUGGUAAGAAGAUUUAUUUCAAAAGUUCCCUCCGAACUAUGAAAGAAGCCCUCGUUAAAAUUUCAUCCCUUCGUUCGCGCAAACGGAAAAUAUAUUGUCAUUACACUGCAAAUCCAAGUGUGUAAUUUUACACAUUUUGUUGUAGUCAUUUUUUACACAUUUGCAAUUUACACGUGUUAUUAAUGUAAUUUUACACACUUAUGUGUGUAAAAUCAUAGUAUGAU